UACGAAGGGGGCUAGCGUUGUUCGGAAUCACUGGGCGUAAAGGGCGCGUAGGCGGCCGGUCAAGUCGGGGGUGAAAGCCUGUGGCUCAACCACAGAAUGGCCUUCGAUACUGGACGGCUCGAGACCGGAAGAGGUGAGUGGAACUGAGUGUAGAGGUGAAAUUCGUAGAUAUUCGCAAGAACACCAGUGGCGAAGGCGGCUCACUGGUCCGGUUCUGACGCUGAGGCGCGAAAGCGUGGGGAGCAAACAGG
rnacentral:rRNA from 1 species